rnacentral:rRNA from 1 species
UUAAAUUGAAGAGUUUGAUCAUGGCUCAGAUUGAACGCUGGCGGCAGGCCUAACACAUGCAAGUCGAACGGUAGCACAGAGAGCUUGCUCUCGGGUGACGAGUGGCGGACGGGUGAGUAAUGUCUGGGAAACUGCCUGAUGGAGGGGGAUAACUACUGGAAACGGUGGCUAAUACCGCAUAACGUCGCAAGACCAAAGAGGGGGACCUUCGGGCCUCUUGCCAUCAGAUGUGCCCAGAUGGGAUUAGCUUGUUGGUGAGGUAACGGCUCACCAAGGCGACGAUCCCUAGCUGGUCUGAGAGGAUGACCAGCCACACUGGAACUGAGACACGGUCCAGACUCCUACGGGAGGCAGCAGUGGGGAAUAUUGCACAAUGGGCGCAAGCCUGAUGCAGCCAUGCCGCGUGUAUGAAGAAGGCCUUCGGGUUGUAAAGUACUUUCAGCGGGGAGGAAGGUGUUGUGGUUAAUAACCGCAGCAAUUGACGUUACCCGCAGAAGAAGCACCGGCUAACUCCGUGCCAGCAGCCGCGGUAAUACGGAGGGUGCAAGCGUUAAUCGGAAUUACUGGGCGUAAAGCGCACGCAGGCGGUCUGUCAAGUCGGAUGUGAAAUCCCCGGGCUCAACCUGGGAACUGCAUUCGAAACUGGCAGGCUUGAGUCUUGUAGAGGGGGGUAGAAUUCCAGGUGUAGCGGUGAAAUGCGUAGAGAUCUGGAGGAAUACCGGUGGCGAAGGCGGCCCCCUGGACAAAGACUGACGCUCAGGUGCGAAAGCGUGGGGAGCAAACAGGAUUAGAUACCCUGGUAGUCCACGCCGUAAACGAUGUCUACUUGGAGGUUGUGCCCUUGAGGCGUGGCUUCCGGAGCUAACGCGUUAAGUAGACCGCCUGGGGAGUACGGCCGCAAGGUUAAAACUCAAAUGAAUUGACGGGGGCCCGCACAAGCGGUGGAGCAUGUGGUUUAAUUCGAUGCAACGCGAAGAACCUUACCUGGUCUUGACAUCCACAGAAGAAUCCAGAGAUGGAUUUGUGCCUUCGGGAACUGUGAGACAGGUGCUGCAUGGCUGUCGUCAGCUCGUGUUGUGAAAUGUUGGGUUAAGUCCCGCAACGAGCGCAACCCUUAUCCUUUGUUGCCAGCGGUUAGGCCGGGAACUCAAAGGAGACUGCCAGUGAUAAACUGGAG